CUUAGAGUGAGGACACAGGGAGAGUCCUGGACACCAAGAGCCAAGCAAAAAGACACUGUCAUUGUUGGAGAAGCUGUUACUCAAAAAGUGCCUCUGACCAGCCUUCCAGACUCUUCACCCUCAGCCCAGGAGCACACAAGUCUCAGAACAGCACAGAAGUCUGGCUCCAACAGAAAGAGAUGAUGGAAGGAAGCAGAGAGCCAGUGGGUGAACAAGGAAGCCUCAUGUCAAGGAUUUCAUGAAGGACUGCCUUGGGCUCACAAAAGCAGCAACCUUUUGAUGCUCCCCAUGUGACAUUCUGACCUUUAGAAGAAGUGUGAACGGGGCCCAGGAAGACAGAAGUCCCUGUGGACUAGGAACCCAGUUUGUCUAAGAAGAGCUAAAACCUGGGGCAAGGAGACAAGCAGACCACUCAUCGGGCUCUCAUCCUUCAUCCCCAAGGAAACGUCAAGUGGUGGCUCCCCAAGCUCUCCUCUCUCUGGGUCCCAAUCCGCAAGUUCACGACUGAAGUGACUCCACAACUCACAAACUGUCUUUUACACUGCUUUCUAUGCAAACUGCAAGCCUCCUCCUGGAGCAAAGACCUAGCCCUGCCAUCUUAAAGAAGCCUUGGCCAGCUACCAGCACAAUCAACUCCCCCACUUAUGAGACAAGACCCUGGGAGAGAAACUGCUUAAGGAAUGUCAGGAUCCCCAUGUCCUCUAUGGGAAAGCCCAAUAGGUUUCCAUCUGAGUUCUUACAGGACAAAAAGAUGAACGCCUACAUGAGUACUGUAUGGGCGGCGGGGACAACUGUUAGGGAGAACAAAGAAAUACUUCUAGCCCUUUUCAAUACUAAUCCCAUUUGACAAGUUCAUAUGUCUGAAGAAAAGGUCAAAGUCGAGUUUACUAUGAGUCUGGACCUGUAGAAGCGAAGAGAACUUCCUCCCUGCCCUACAGAGAGCAACAGGAAAGGCGGCACACAGACUUUACCUCCAGAGGGAAGGGCAAUCACAGGGCAGUGAACACUCAUGACCCCAGGAAACAGAAACUUAUUAUCACUCUUCACGAGCACGCUGGCAAUUCUGAGGGAAAUGAGAGCCGGUGCUAACUGACCAAGUCUAUCCUGCAUGGAGUCAAGUCCUUCUUCCUGUGAUGUGGUUCAGCAGCUCGCUGCUGAGAAAUUUGGGAAGAGAAAGUUAUAACUGCAACUCUGCUGGCCAUUCCAGAACAUUAAAGAAAGUUCCUCUGGGCGUCAGGAGAGUUAGGAGUGACCACAGGAGAGAAGCACCAAAAGAUGCUGGUCCUGAGACUUAGUUAAAAACACACG